rnacentral:rRNA from 1 species
UACGGAGGGUGCGAGCGUUAUUCGGAAUUACUGGGCGUAAAGCGCGUGCAGGCGGCUCUGCCAGUCUGAUGUGAAAGCCCCGGGCUCAACCCGGGAAGUGCAUUGGAAACUGCAGGGCAAACUGCAAGACUUGAGGUCGGUAGAGGCGCCUGGAACUCUAGGUGGAGCGGUGAAAUGCGUAGAUAUCUAGGGGAACUCCGGAGGCGAAAGCGGGGCGCUGGGCCGAUUCUGACGCUGAUGCGCGAAAGCGUGGGGAGCAAACAGG